GUAGACGUGGAUGAGGGAGAAACAAAAGGAAACGACUCUGACGUUCUGAUUGAGAAAAACGGAGGGGAGUUGAAGCAAAAAGAGGAG
rnacentral:ribozyme from 1 species